AGAACGUUAAGUGGAUAAUG
rnacentral:snRNA from 1 species